UGGCUUGCGUUAGAGUAGUCCUGGUCACGAGCUUUUGCUUCACAGGGUACUCUGGGCGUCUUCCGGUACCAGUCACUCACACUGGCCCCCAGUACCAUUCUGCAUCUGAUCUUGCUUUUUAGCUACAACAGGGAGAGAGUGCACUAGGACAUGGGUCCCUCCCUUUCUAGACAGGUCCCUCUCCUGUCCCUGCACUAUCCCUAACCUGCUUUUGAAUCCUUGCACUCCGCCAGACAGGGGGAGAACAGGAGCUAGAGUUCUUUUGUUUGUUGGUUCUGUUU